AACGAACGCUGGCGGCAUGCCUAACACAUGCAAGUCGAACGAGACCUUCGGGUCUAGUGGCGCACGGGUGCGUAACGCGUGGGAACCUGCCCUUAGGUUCGGAAUAACUCCCCGAAAGGGGUGCUAAUACCGGAUAAUGUCUUCGGACCAAAGAUUUAUCACCUUUGGAUGGGCCCGCGUUGGAUUAGCUAGUUGGUAGGGUAAAAGCCUACCAAGGCGACGAUCCAUAGCUGGUCUGAGAGGAUGAUCAGCCACACUGGGACUGAGACACGGCCCAGACUCCUACGGGAGGAAGCAGUGGGGAAUAUUGGACAAUGGGCGAAAGCCUGAGCCAGCAAUGCCGCGUGAGUGAUGAAGGCCUUAGGGUUGUAAAGCUCUUUUAACCGGGAUGAUAAUGACAGUACCGGGAGAAUAAGCUCCGGCUAACUCCGUG
rnacentral:rRNA from 1 species